rnacentral:lncRNA from 1 species
GAACACAAAAUGGCGACACGUGGUUAGCAUUCGUCGCCAACGAGAAAUUGGGGUCGGCCCGAAAGCUCUAGAAUGCACCCCUCUUCCUCCCCGGGGCCUUCCACCUCCGCGAGUUUUAUGACUUAAAAAAGCCCACAGGCUGGUCUGAAGGUCGGAGGCCUAAUUUUAACGCGUUUUCCUCCCUUUAAUUUGAAACGGGAACGCGAAUGACUGUAAAAUACUUCCUAGCAUGGGCUGUUGUGCUGGAGAGAACGAGAGCUACGAAGAGACUACAGUGCCUCUGACUUUUUCAUAGGACAGUUGGCCGAGGAAGACAAACAUAAAGAUGAAGUGCUUAAUUCAAGGUCACACAAUGUCGGGGAUGG